GAAGUUCCGCCGGUUCCGCUUCCGGUCGUGGAGAUGGAAGAUCACGAGGUGCUGAAGAGUCAGCGCCACUGCAUUCUUAUCUCCAACCGUUUGGUAAAGAAGAGGAGAGCAGAUCUCUGUUACUUUAUUGAGGGAAGAAGAACAGACACGUUUUUUUGGUUUUUUUGUUAACAGUAGUCUAAAAUGAAAAAGAAAUAUUGUUUAUACAGAACCGCAUGUAUGCACUUGCUUGUCUUCUCCAAAUAAAGUGAGGAAGCUGAUCUCUA